UGGGGAAUCUUGCACAAUGGGGGAAACCCUGAUGCAGCGACGCCGCGUGAACGAUGAAGCCCUUCGGGGUGUAAAGUUCUUUCGACAGGAACGAUAAUGACGGUACCUGGAGAAGAAGCUGCGGCUAACUACGUGCCAGCAGCCGCGGUAAUACGUAGGCAGCGAGCGUUGUUCGGAGUUACUGGGCGUAAAGAGUGCGUAGGCGGCGAGCCAAGUUUGGUGUGAAAUCUCCCGGCUUAACCGGGAGGGUGCGCCGAAAACUGGUUGGCUGGAGUAUGGGGGAGGAAAGCGGAAUUCCUGGUGUAGCGGUGAAAUGCGUAGAUAUCAGGAGGAACACCUGCGGUGUAGACAGCUUUCUGGACCAAAACUGACGCUGAGGCACGAAAGCGUGGGUAGCAAACA
rnacentral:rRNA from 1 species